CUCGUUAUUUUAAAUCAAUGUUUUUAGUGAUUUUGUAUGUUGUAUCGGAUUGCUGCUAAAUUGUUUGUGUUCUCUUGACGAUUAUUCGUUCUUAAAUUAAAUUUUACGUUUUAAUGCGUUCAAAAGUGCAUAUGUCAUAACCAUUGGAUCUUUGUCGUCAAUUGUGUUUAAAGCAGUUAUGUCUUGCGGGAGCUUCAAAAGAUGUUCUUUUUUGUUGAGCUUUUGGACCUGGUGCAAAAUCCUUUUCUUGAAUAUCUGGAGUUGCUUCAAAAACAUAGAAUGUUGCCAAAGGAAGCAUAUAUCUAAUAUUCAGUUGUACUACGAAAAGGGAUCGGACCUGACUUUUCGUAAAAAUUUCGUACGCAAAUUCACAGCCGUUAACUUCAUUGACUGUCGAACACAGACGCUUAUAAAUGCUCCCGAACCAUUGGUCGUAUUAUGCUCAUUUCAAACCAGGAUUGAAGAUACAUGCAAUGCCGCAAUGGAAGGAUUACAAGAUUGUCAGUCGGUUGUCUUAGUGGUGUUUCGCCGGAUUACCGGAAGCGUAACUAAAGAAAGCAUCGUUAGUGAUCUAUAUAUCCAUCCUGGUGUCAAGGAAACCAUUUAUGUUGGAUUCGACAAGAACAAUAUUUAUUUCUCACCAAUGGACAUAAAAACUCUAAAAACAUUUUUAGAAAAUAAUUCGGAUGAAAAAUUACUGUAAGCUUUCAGCCUAUGUGUUUUACUAUUAUUUUUUGACAUUAACAUUAUUACCAAUAUUUGCGGUACACUAAUUUGAAUGGUAGCAAUGUAUAUACAAGAUGCAUUUGAACCCAUUGUGUAAAUAUAGUAGAAACACAACAAUAAAUGGAACCAGGAUUUUACGUUAAUGGGCACCCUCUCCAUUUGCAACUCAGAUUUAUGUCUAUUAUGUUCACCCAUGCGUAUGGCACACACUCCCUUGUUCCGUUAGUGACUUUACAACAUAUAAUCAAUCGCUCACGCAAUUCUACUCCUGUAUAUAAUCUGUGUGAGGGAUCUCUUGAUCGUGUCUAUGCUGUUCUGAACGUUUGUAUUGUUUCUUAAUUAUACUGAACAUUAAAGUUUGCAGUCGAUGGUGUUGGUGAUGCCGCAGUGAAAUUCAAUAUCAUCCUUAACGUAAAAUUUAGGGACGAAAUUAUGUCACCGCACAUUUUAUCCUUUAUCGUAAACGUUUAUCGUAAAUAUUAUGAUACUGAGUUUUCGAUCAGGGCCCUAAUCCUUGUGAAAUUUCAUGUGGGUUAUUCCUCGAAUAAUUAUAAAACCCACCAAUUUCUUGGCGAAAAGGGGUUCCUUGCAGUACAUUGGCAAUCAUUUGGUAUAACAAUUUAACAUGAGACCAGAUAUCAUUUUUGAUAUUUCGUUUUACAAUGUAUUUUUUCAAAAUUGAAAAAUAAAAAUAAAAUGGAGAUACGGGA